rnacentral:rRNA from 1 species
GAAGCCAGUCGAAGAUACCAGCUGGCUGCAACUGUUUAAUAAAAACACAGCACUGUGCAAACACGAAAGUGGACGUAUACGGUGUGACGCCUGCCCGGUGCUGGAAGGUUAAUUGAUGGGGUCAGCCGCAAGGCGAAGCUCUUGAUCGAAGCCCCAGUAAACGGCGGCCGUAACUAUAACGGUCCUAAGGUAGCGAAAUUCCUUGUCGGGUAAGUUCCGACCUGCACGAAUGGCGUAAUGAUGGCCAGGCUGUCUCCACCCGAGACUCAGUGAAAUUGAACUCGCUGUGAAGAUGCAGUGUACCCGCGGCAAGACGGAAAGACCCCGUGAACCUUUACUAUAGCUUGACACUGAACAUUGAGCCUUGAUGUGUAGGAUAGGUGGGAGGCUUUGAAGCGUGGACGCCAGUCUGCGUGGAGCCAUCCUUGAAAUACCACCCUUUAAUGUUUGAUGUUCUAACUC